rnacentral:lncRNA from 1 species
AUAAAAGUCCGUGACUUAAAGGAGCAAGGCUCACCCCAGGCUCCGGGGCAUGAGCUGUGAGCUGGCCGGGGCUUCCCCACCCACUGGAGCAGGGCCUCUGAGAGCAGUUCCAGGACCAGGCUGCGCCUAGGGUGGCAACCUGAGGUGAGAUCGUGGGCAACAGGGCCAGGGGCUGGGCACUUCACAGGUGCAUGGCCAGCAGUCAAGAGUAAGAGCACCGCAGGGAGGGCGGACCUGAGGGUGCUAAGUGUCCACCCGGCAUUGCACCUGGGCUGGGGAGGCAAGGGGCACUCCUCGUGCAGGGCCAGCGUGGACAACAACAGAGGCCACAGGAGUGAAGGGAGGCCCAGGAGUCUGGGGGGGGGCACUGUGCCUCCCUGGGGUACAGUGGGACUGCCAACCUUGGGUGGCACCGCAUGCCAUGGAGGGAACAAAUGGCUAGUGACCAGCAGCCAGACCGCGGGACGGUGUCACCCCUCCCACCUCCUGACUCUGCCCCAGACCCUGGCCCCCCACUCUCAUGGCCCUACUGGGGGGUUCUGAGGCUGGCAGCACAGGACUGGGGCUUUGGGGUGGGGUCUCUAGAACCUCAGGAGGCAGGCUCCUGUCUGCCUCGCCUCAAAGAGGUGUCUGGGGAGGAGGUAGGAAGGAAGAGAGGAGGGGAUCAAGGACAGCAGAGAAG